rnacentral:rRNA from 1 species
AUUGAACGCUGGCGGCAUGCCUUACACAUGCAAGUCGAACGGCAGCACGGAGCAACCUGGUGGCGAGUGGCGAACGGGUGAGUAAUGCAUCGGAACGUACCUUUCAGUGGGGGAUAACGUAGCGAAAGUUACGCUAAUACCGCAUAUUCUGUGAGCAAGAAAGCAGGGGAUCGCAAGACCUUGCGCUGAUUGAGCGGCCGAUGUCAGAUUAGCUAGUUGGUGAGGUAAAGGCUCACCAAGGCGACGAUCUGUAGCGGGUCUGAGAGGAUGAUCCGCCACCCUGGAACUGAGACACGGUCCAGACUCCUACGGGAGGCAGCAGUGGGGAAUUUUGGACAAUGGGGGCAACCCUGAUCCAGCCAUGCCGCGUGAGUGAAGAAGGCCUUCGGGUUGUAAAGCUCUUUCGGCCGGGAAGAAAUCGCACGGGCUAAUACCCUGUGUGGAUGACGGUACCGGAAUAAGAAGCACCAGCUAACUACGUGCCAGCCGCCGCCGUAAUAC